CUUAUUUCUAGAGAUAGAAAGUUACUUCGGUACAUCGGUGACAGGUGGUGCAUUGGUUGUCGUCAGCUCGUGUCGUGAGAUGUUGGGUUAAGUCCCGCAACGAGCGCAACCCCUAUUGUUAGUUGCCAUCAUUCAGUUGGGCACUCUAGCGAGACUGCCGGUAAUAACCGGAGGAAGUGGGAUGACGUCAAAUCAUCAUGCCCCUUAUGACCUGGGCUACACACGUGCUACAAUGGUUGGUACAACGAGUUGCGAGUCGGUGACGGCGAGCUAAUCUCUUAAAGCCAAUCUCAGUUCGGAUUGUAGGCUGCAACUCGCCUACAUGAAGUCGGAAUCGCUAGUAAUCGCGGAUCAGCACGCCGCGGUGAAUACGUUCCCGGGCCUU
rnacentral:rRNA from 1 species